UUUCUCUUCUCGUUAAGACUUGAGAGAUCCUUUUACUUCUCUGAAAAUCAUCAUUCACAGAUCAGUUCUCUCUCCUAUCAACAAUGGCGGCGGCGGGAUUUUUCUCCAAUACCAAAUACUCCGACAGCUUAACACUCGUCGGAAUUUCAAUCUGCACAGCUAUAGUAUGUGAGGCAAUUUCAUAUCUCCUUAUAUACCGCACUACUUCAUACAAAUCCCUCAAAUCUACAAUCGAUAAGGCUUCAAAAAAGCUCGAAACUAUGAAGACUCAGGAACCGGUUCCGUCUGUACUCACUAAGAAGUCGAAAACGAAGAAAAUUGAUCGGGUCGAAACUUCCUUGAAGGAGUCAACCCGGGAUCUCUCCCUUUUCAAAUUCAAAUCCGGAUUCGUCGUCGCCGUUGUGUUGUUUAUGGUUUUCGGAUUUCUUAACAGUCUUUUUGAAGGGAAAGUUGUUGCUAAAUUGCCGUUUAUACCUUUUCGUCUUGUUCAGAAGAUGAGUCACAGAGGGUUACCGGGUGAUGACAUGACGGAUUGUUCAAUGGCGUUUUUGUACUUCCUUUGUUCGAUUAGUAUCAGGACGAAUCUUCAGAAGUUCUUAGGGUUUUCACCUCCUCGUGGAUCUGCUGGAGCUGGGUUAUUCCCAAUGCCUGAUCCAAAGACCAAUUGAUAGAUCCAGCAGAACUGGGUAUUUGUUUUUCUUUUUUUUUUUGUCAUUGUUUAGAG
rnacentral:misc_RNA from 1 species